AGACCCUGGCACGUCCUUAACGUACAUCAAUGAGUUUGCAACUCACCAUGAAUUUCACCACAGGAUC
rnacentral:tRNA from 1 species